rnacentral:rRNA from 1 species
AACGUAGGGGGCAAGCGUUGCCCGGAUUCACUGGGCGUAAAGCGGGUGUAGGCGGUUCUUUAAGUCAGAUGUGAAAUCCUGCGGCUCAACCGCGGAACUGCAUCUGAUACUGGGGAACUUGAGGACGGUAGAGGUCGGUGGAAUCCCCUGUGUACCGGUGAAAUGGGCAGAUAUAGGGGGGAACACCAGUGGCGAAGGCGGCCGACUGGGCCGAUCCUGACGCUGAGACCCGAAAGCCAGGGUAGCGAACCGG